CUGGCCCUGAAUCAAGGCCGGCAGCUUCCUGAUGUUGUUGAUUUUAAGCAGGAACCUAAAGAGAUAUCUUUCUAUGACCUAUUGAGCAUUUCAGAACGUGAGCAGUGAAGUGGUCAAUUCAUUAGAAAGAAACAGCU
ensembl:snoRNA